GUCUCAUAUUGGCAUAUUAUUUGAUUUAUUUGAGUUUACUCAUCUGUCACAAGACUAUAUGAAAUAGCUCCCCCUGGUGUCAUAAAACUGUAUAAAACAGCACCCCCUGGUGUCGUAAAACUGUAUGAAACAGCGCCUCCUGGUGUCAUAAAACUGUAUGAAACAGCGCCUCCUGGUGUCAUAAAACUGUAUGAAACAGCACCUCCUUGUGGCCAGAUCCAAAGUUGUAAAAGUAGCUGCCAUAGACAGAUUUAGAUACAUUUAUUGCAUGGGUUCUGAUUAAAGUUUUCCUGUGGAACCCUAUGACAUUGUAUACCAACAUUGUGGAAACCCCCCACAAGACAUUUUGCAACGUAACACAAGCCUUUUAAUUACAG